AUGCGUCAGCCGCCUGGUUUUGUUGAUCCGACACGACCUCAGCAUCUCUGUCAUUUGGUUAAGGCACUGUAUGGACUCAAACAGGCUCCUCGUGCAUGGCAUGCUUUCCUUGGAUCUGUUCUUCGGGCUCUUGGGUUUACUCCCUCCACUGCUGAUACGUCACUGUUUCUCCUCCAGCGCCCUGAGGUUACGAUGUAUGUCUUGGUUUAUGUUGAUGAUAUCAUCCUUGUCAGUUCCUCGGCUGCUGCUGCUGAUCGCCUUGUGAUUGCUCUCCGUGAUGAUUUUGCUGUCAAGGAUUUGGGUGCUCUUCACUUUUUCCUUGGUCUUGAGGUUUCACGGUCUUCUGCUGGUUUGACUCUCACUCAGAAGAAGUACUCCUUGGACUUGUUGCGUCGUGCUGGAAUGCUCAAAUGCAAACCUGUUUCCACUCCGAUGUCUGCUACUGAUCGGUUGUUUGCUCUUGAUGGUGACUCUCUCUCGUCUGAUGAUGCUACUGAGUAUCGCAGUAUCGUUGGUGGUCUGCAAUAUCUCACUAUUACCAGGCUUGAUAUCUCCUAUGCAGUUAACCAUGUCUGUCAAUUUUUGCAUGCACCCAGGACGUCUCACUAG
rnacentral:rRNA from 1 species